GAAAAAAAAGAGGUGCCAUGGUCAAAGCUGGAUGGAAGAGAAGGUAAAUAUACAAAUGAAAGUCCUUUCUUAAUCAUAAGUGACUUCAGGUGUGUCUGGCACUAACUGAUUCAACCGUAGAACUUCUGAAAUUCCUCAUCAGGACUAAUGAGAAGACGAGUGUGCUAAACAGGGAGCUGUUCAACUCCAAGGCUUUUAUCUGCGCUUCACUGUUCUGCUUUAAUCAGUGCAGUGACUCAGGGCCGUAUCAGAUUGACUGCAGGCCUAGAAAGUAAACAUGUUGUAAAGCUA